rnacentral:piRNA from 1 species
CAUGAACAGAACAAGAGAUAAGAACCCA